GAUGAACGCUGGCGGCGUGCCUAAUACAUGCAAGUCGAGCGAACUGAUUAGAAGCUUGCUUCUAUGACGUUAGCGGCGGACGGGUGAGUAACACGUGGGCAACCUGCCUGUAAGACUGGGAUAACUUCGGGAAACCGAAGCUAAUACCGGAUAGGAUCUUCUCCUUCAUGGGAGAUGAUUGAAAGAUGGUUCCGGCUAUCACUUACAGAUGGGCCCGCGGUGCAUUAGCUAGUUGGUGAGGUAACGGCUGACCAAGGCAACGAUGCAUAGCCGACCUGAGAGGGUGAUCGGCCACACUGGGACUACGACACGGCCCAGACUCCUACGGGAGGCAGCAGUAGGGAAUCUUCCGCAAUGGACGAAAGUCUGACGGAGCAACGCCGCGUGAGUGAUGAAGGCUUUCGGGUCGUAAAACUCUGUUGUUAGGGAAGAAUAAGUACAAGAGUAACUGCUUGUACCUUGACGGUACCUAACCAGAAAGUCACGGCUAACUACGUGCCAGCAGCCGCCGCGG
rnacentral:rRNA from 1 species